GACGUAGGGGGCAAGCGUUGUCCGGAAUCAUUGGGCGUAAAGAGCGUGUAGGCGGCUCGAUAAGUCUGCUGUGAAAGUCCAGGGCUCAACCCUGGAAGGCCGGUGGAAACUGUCGGGCUAGAGUCCGGAAGAGGCGAGUGGAAUUCCCGGUGUAGCGGUGAAAUGCGCAGAUAUCGGGAGGAACACCAAUGGCGAAGGCAGCUCGCUGGGACGGUACUGACGCUGAGACGCGAAAGCGUGGGGAGCAAACAGG
rnacentral:rRNA from 1 species